AGCUACAGCCAUGCCACCCUGAACGUGCCUGAUCUCACCUGAUCUCGGAAGCUAAGCAGGGUCGGGCCUGGUUAGUAUACUUAGGAAGACCAGGUGCUGUAGGUG
rnacentral:rRNA from 1 species